AUUGAACGCUGGCGGCAGGCUUAACACAUGCAAGUCGAGCGGGGAAGGGUAGCUUGCUACUUAACCUAGCGGCGGACGGGUGAGUAAUGCUUAGGAAUCUGCCUAUUAGUGGGGGACAACAUUCCGAAAGGAAUGCUAAUACCGCAUACGUCCUACGGGAGAAAGCAGGGGAUCUUCGGACCUUGCGCUAAUAGAUGAGCCUAAGUCGGAUUAGCUAGUUGGUGGGGUAAAGGCCUACCAAGGCGACGAUCUGUAGCGGGUCUGAGAGGAUGAUCCGCCACACUGGGACUGAGACACGGCCCAGACUCCUACGGGAGGCAGCAGUGGGGAAUAUUGGACAAUGGGCGGAAGCCUGAUCCAGCCAUGCCGCGUGUGUGAAGAAGGCCUUAUGGUUGUAAAGCACUUUAAGCGAGGAGGAGGCUACUCUAGUUAAUACCUAGAGAUAGUGGACGUUACUCGCAGAAUAAGCACCGGCUAACUCUGUGCCAGCAGCCGCGGUAAUACAGAGGGUGCGAGCGUUAAUCGGAUUUACUGGGCGUAAAGCGUGCGUAGGCGGCUGAUUAAGUCGGAUGUGAAAUCCCUGAGCUUAACUUAGGAAUUGCAUUCGAUACUGGUCAGCUAGAGUAUGGGAGAGGAUGGUAGAAUUCCAGGUGUAGCGGUGAAAUGCGUAGAGAUCUGGAGGAAUACCGAUGGCGAAGGCAGCCAUCUGGCCUAAUACUGACGCUGAGGUACGAAAGCAUGGGGAGCAAACAGGAUUAGAUACCCUGGUAGUCCAUGCCGUAAACGAUGUCUACUAGCCGUUGGGGCCUUUGAGGCUUUAGUGGCGCAGCUAACGCGAUAAGUAGACCGCCUGGGGAGUACGGUCGCAAGACUAAAACUCAAAUGAAUUGACGGGGGCCCGCACAAGCGGUGGAGCAUGUGGUUUAAUUCGAUGCAACGCGAAGAACCUUACCUGGUCUUGACAUACUAAGAACUUUCCAGAGAUGGAUUGGUGCCUUCGGGAACUUACAUACAGGUGCUGCAUGGCUGUCGUCAGCUCGUGUCGUGAGAUGUUGGGUUAAGUCCCGCAACGAGCGCAACCCUUUUCCUUACUUGCCAGCAUUUCAAAUG
rnacentral:rRNA from 1 species